rnacentral:misc_RNA from 1 species
AACGCACAUUGCGCCCUCUGGUAUUCCGGAGGGCAUGCCUGUUCGAGCGUCAUUAUCACCACUCAAGCCCGGCUUGUUGUUGGCGGCUCUCAAGCGAGGACCGGGUCGACCGGUCACGCUUCCGCCCAAAGAUAAUGACGGCGUCUGUGAGGACUCCUGUACACUGAGCUUUCGGGCACGUACACGGUUAGAAGUCCAGGCGCCGGUCACCGUCCCUCGGGACACUUUUUACCAAGGUUGACCUCGGAUCAGGUAGGGAUACCCGCUGAACUUAA